GGAAGUAAAGUCGUAACAAGGUCUCCGUAGGUGAACCUGCGGAGGGAUCAUUACAGAGUUCAUGCCCUACCGGGUAGAUCUCCCACCCUAUGUUAUUAUUACUUUGUUGCUUUGGCGGGCCGUUAGGCUCCGGCCCGACUACCGGCCCCGGCUGGUAAGCGCCCGCCAGAGGACCCAAAACCCCGAAUAUUAGUGUCGUCUGAGUACUAUAUAAUAGUUAAAACUUUCAACAACGGAUCUCUUGGUUCUG
rnacentral:misc_RNA from 1 species